rnacentral:rRNA from 1 species
UACGUAGGGGGCAACCGUUGUCCGGAAUCAUUGGGCGUAAAGAGCGUGUAGGCGGCUCGAUAAGUCUGCUGUGAAAGUCCAGGGCUCAACCCUGGAAGGCCGGUGGAAACUGUCGGGCUAGAGUCCGGAAGAGGCGAGUGGAAUUCCCGGUGUAGCGGUGAAAUGCGCAGAUAUCGGGAGGAACACCAAUGGCGAAGGCAGCUCGCUGGGACGGUACUGACGCUGAGACGCGAAAGCGUGGGGAGCAAACAGG